rnacentral:rRNA from 1 species
GACAGAGGAUGCAAGCGUUAUCCGGAAUGAUUGGGCGUAAAGCGUCUGUAGGUGGCUUUUCAAGUCCGCCGUCAAAUCCCAGGGCUCAACCCUGGACAGGCGGUGGAAACUACCAAGCUGGAGUACGGUAGGGGCAGAGGGAAUUUCCGGUGGAGCGGUGAAAUGCAUUGAGAUCGGAAGGAACACCAGUGGCGAAGGCGGCUUCCUGGACUAAUACUGACGCUGAGGUGCGAAAGCGUGGGGAGCAAACAGG